GAUUGAUUCUUCGGAUGAUUUCUUUUGUGACUUAGUGGCGGACGGGUGAGUAACGCGUGGGUAACCUGCCUCACACAGGGGGAUAACAGUUAGAAAUGACUGCUAAUACCGCAUAACCCGAUAGGAUCGCAUGAUCCAGACGGAAAAGAUUUAUCGGUGUGAGAUGGACCCGCGUCUGAUUAGCUAGUUGGUGAGGUAACGGCCCACCAAGGCGACGAUCAGUAGCCGGCCUGAGAGGGUGAACGGCCACAUUGGGACUGAGACACGGCCCAAACUCCUACGGGAGGCAGCAGUGGGGAAUAUUGCACAAUGGGGGAAACCCUGAUGCAGCGACGCCGCGUGAGUGAAGAAGUAUUUCGGUAUGUAAAGCUCUAUCAGCAGGGAAGAAAAUGACGGUACCUGACUAAGAAGCCCCGGCUAACUACGUGCCAGCAGCCGCGGUAAUACGUAGGGGGCAAGCGUUAUCCGGAUUUACUGGGUGUAAAGGGAGCGUAGACGGUCAAGCAAGUCAGAAGUGAAAGGCUGGGGCUCAACCCCGGGACUGCUUUUGAAACUGUUUGACUGGAGUGCUGGAGAGGUAAGCGGAAUUCCUAGUGUAGCGGUGAAAUGCGUAGAUAUUAGGAGGAACACCAGUGGCGAAGGCGGCUUACUGGACAGUAACUGAC
rnacentral:rRNA from 1 species